rnacentral:misc_RNA from 1 species
GCUUGAUGCUUACUCCACAGAUUAUACCCCGCAAUCAUAACCGUAGUCAUUAAAUUAAAUAAUUUAAGCAUUACACUGUAAUUCCAAGGAACUUGUUUCACGAGGCAUUCCAGAGUUCCAGACCCUGCCAUUUACAUUAUAAUAUGAGCAGUAGAAGAAUAAUAACUUUUUUUAAUAUAUGAUAUUUGCUAGAAACUUCACAAUAUCACGAACCAACCAAGAAAAAAAUAAAUGGAAGGAUGAAGGAGUAACCUUCCUUGAGGCCACCACAUCUAUAUUUGCAUCCCUCCGUGUACAAACCGAUUUUUGUUGCUUUCACAUCACCCUGUAAUGGCAGGGGAGCUUUCUAUACAUGAAUUGGAUAUUGGCAUAUAAUAAAGAUGAUAACGUCCCAUAACCGCUUCCGUAGAUCAUCUCAGGCUUUCUUCAAGUUUACCAACCCAUAUUAACUUCUUCAUUGCCUCCUCGUCACAAAAUCUUCCGUUAUCACUAUAACUCCUGUGUUGAGAAGUGAGCUAUCCUUUUAUCUGUGGUAAAAUUACUAGGACGGUGGUGAACGCUUAGAUAAACAUCACAAUCUCCUAAACAAUUGUCAACUUGAAGGAUCCCAGGGAUUCUCUGAAGGCUGUAAACACUCCUCAGGGUUGGAAUAGAAAUAAUCCUCCUCUUUUGGCCUGUCUGGAAU